UGGGGAAUAUUGCACAAUGGGCGCAAGCCUGAUGCAGCCAUGCCGCGUGUAUGAAGAAGGCCUUCGGGUUGUAGUACUUUCAGCGGGGAGGAAGGCGAUAAGGUUAAUAACCUUGUCGAUUGACGUUACCCGCAGAAGAAGCACCGGCUAACUCCGUGCCAGCAGCCGCGGUAAUACGGAGGGUGCAAGCGUUAAUCGGAAUUACUGGGCGUAAAGCGCACGCAGGCGGUCUGUCAAGUCGGAUGUGAAAUCCCCGGGCUCAACCUGGGAACUGCAUUCGAAACUGGCAGGCUAGAGUCUUGUAGAGGGGGGUAGAAUUCCAGGUGUAGCGGUGAAAUGCGUAGAGAUCUGGAGGAAUACCGGUGGCGAAGGCGGCCCCCUGGACAAAGACUGACGCUCAGGUGCGAAAGCGUGGGGAGCAAACA
rnacentral:rRNA from 1 species